AUUGAACGCUGGCGGCAGGCCUAACACAUGCAAGUCGAGCGAGCGGCGGACGGGUGAGUACUAUCUGGGUAACUGCCAGAUGGGGGGGGAUAACUACUGGAACCGGUAGCUACUACCGCAUACCAUCAGAUGUGCCCAGAUGGGAUGAGCUAGUGGGUGGGGUAACGGCUCACCAAGGCGACGAUCCCUAGCUGGUCUGGGAGGAUGACCAGCCACACUGGAACUGAGACACGGUCCAGACUCCUACGGGAGGCAGCAGUGGGGAAUAUUGCACAAUGGGCGCAAGCCUGAUGCAGCCAUGCCGCGUGUGUGAAGAAGGCCUUCGGAUUGUAAAGCACUUUAAGCGGGGAGGCGUUACCCGCAGAAGAAGCACCGGCUAACUCCGUGCCAGCAGCCGCGGUAAUUC
rnacentral:rRNA from 1 species